rnacentral:rRNA from 1 species
AUUGGACGCUGGCGGCAUGCCUUACACAUGCAAGUCGAACGGCAGCGCGGGGCAACCUGGCGGCGAGUGGCGAACGGGUGAGUAAUAUAUCGGAACGUACCCUGGAGUGGGGGAUAACGUAGCGAAAGUUACGCUAAUACCGCAUACGAUCUAAGGAUGAAAGUGGGGGAUUCGCAAGAACCUCAUGCUCCUGGAGCGGCCGAUAUCUGAUUAGCUAGUUGGUGGGGUAAAGGCCUACCAAGGCAUCGAUCAGUAGCUGGUCUGAGAGGACGACCAGCCACACUGGAACUGAGCCACGGUCCAGACUCCUACGGGAGGCAGCAGUGGGGAAUUUUGGACAAUGGGCGAAAGCCUGAUCCAGCAAUGCCGCGUGAGUGAAGAAGGCCUUCGGGUUGUAAAGCUCUUUUGUCAGGGAAGAAACGGUGAGGGCUAAUAUCCUUUGCUAAUGACGGUACCUGAAGAAUAAGCACCGGCUAACUACGUGCCAGCAGCCGCGGUAAUACGUAGGGUGCAAGCGUUAAUCGGAAUUACUGGGCGUAAAGCGUGCGCAGGCGGUUUUGUAAGUCUGUCGUGAAAUCCCCGGGCUCAACCUGGGAAUUGCGAUGGAGACUGCAAGGCUAGAAUCUGGCAGAGGGGGGUAGAAUUCCACGUGUAGCAGUGAAAUGCGUAGAGAUGUGGAGGAACACCGAUGGCGAAGGCAGCCCCCUGGGUCAAGAUUGACGCUCAUGCACGAAAGCGUGGGGAGCAAACAGGAUUAGAUACCCUGGUAGUCCACGCCCUAAACGAUGUCUACUAGUUGUCGGGUUUUAAUUAACUUGGUAACGCAGCUAACGCGUGAAGUAGACCGCCUGGGGAGUACGGUCGCGAGAUUAAAACUCAAAGGAAUUGACGGGGACCCGCACAAGCGGUGGAUGAUGUGGAUUAAUUCGAUGCAACGCGAAAAACCUUACCUACCCUUGACAUGUACGGAAGUCCGGAGAGAUCUGGAUGUGCCCGAAAGAGAGCCGUAACACAGGUGCUGCAUGGCUGUCGUCAGCUCGUGUCGUGAGAUGUUGGGUUAAGUCCCGCAACGAGCGCAACCCUUGUCAUUAGUUGCUACGAAAGGGCACUCUAAUGAGACUGCCGGUGACAAACCGGAGGAGGGUGGGGAUGACGUCAAGUCCUCAUGGCCCUUAUGGGUAGGGCUUCACACGUCAUACAAUGGUACAUACAGAGGGCCGCCAACCCGCGAGGGGGAGCUAAUCCCAGAAAGUGUAUCGUAGUCCGGAUUGUAGUCUGCAACUCGACUACAUGAAGUUGGAAUCGCUAGUAAUCGCGGAUCAGCAUGUCGCGGUGAAUACGUUCCCGGGUCU